rnacentral:rRNA from 1 species
UACGAAGGGGGCUAGCGUUGCUCGGAAUUACUGGGCGUAAAGCGCACGUAGGCGGUUUGUUAAGUCAGGGGUGAAAUCCCGGAGCUCAACUCCGGAACUGCCUUUGAUACUGGCAAGCUAGAGUCCGGAAGAGGUAAGUGGAACUCCUAGUGUAGAGGUGGAAUUCGUAGAUAUUAGGAAGAACACCAGUGGCGAAGGCGGCUUACUGGUCCGGAACUGACGCUGAGGUGCGAAAGCGUGGGGAGCAAACAGG